UACGUAGGGUGCAAGCGUUAAUCGGAAUUACUGGGCGUAAAGCGUGCGCAGGCGGUUUUGUAAGUCUGAUGUGAAAUCCCCGGGCUCAACCUGGGAAUUGCAUUUGAUACUCUGGAGCUUGAGUGUGGGAGAGGAGAGUGGAAUUCCCAGUGUAGAGGUGAAAUUCGUAGAUAUCUGGAGGAACAUCAGUGGCGAAGGCGACACCCUGGACUCAUACUGACACUGAGGUGCGAAAGCGUGGGGAGCAAACAGG
rnacentral:rRNA from 1 species